rnacentral:rRNA from 1 species
GUGCCAGCAGCCGCGGUAAUACGAAGGGUGCAAGCGUUACUCGGAAUUACUGGGCGUAAAGCGUGCGUAGGUGGUCGUUUAAGUCCGUUGCGAAAGCCCUGGGCUCAACCUGGGAACUGCAGUGGAUACUGGGCGACUAGAGUGUGGUAGAGGGUAGCGGAAUUCCUGGUGUAGCAGUGAAACGCGUAGAGAUCAGGAGGAACAUCCCUGGCGAAGGCAGCUACCUGGACCAAUACUGACACUGAGGCACGAAAAGCGUGGGGAGCAAACAGGGAUUAGAUUACGCUUGUAGUCC